rnacentral:rRNA from 1 species
AGAUUGAACGCUGGCGGCAUGCCUUACACAUGCAAGUCGAACGGCAGCACGGGAGCAAUCCAGGUGGCGAGUGGCGAACGGGUGAGUAAUACAUCGGAACGUGCCCAAUCGUGGGGGGAUAACGCAGCGAAAGCUGUGCUAAUACCGCAUAAGAUCUACGGAUGAAAGCAGGGGAUCGCAAGACCUUGCGCGAAUGGAGCGGCCGAUGGCAGAUUAGGUAGUUGGUGAGGUAAAGGCUCACCAAGCCUUCGAUCUGUAGCUGGUCUGAGAGGACGACCAGCCACACGUGGGACUGAGACACGGCCCAGACCCUACGGGAGCAGCAGGUGGGAAUUUGGACAAGUGGGACGAAAGCCUGACUCCAGCCAGUGCCGCGUGCAGGAUGAAGGCCGUUACGGUUGUAAC